rnacentral:lncRNA from 1 species
CCAUAGUAUCAUCUUCAUCACAAAAUAUAAUUUUUAUAUGUAUAUCUUCCUCACCCUUGAACCUGCCUAACUUUAAAACUGUGUCAUUAGUACGUCUUUUCUACUACUUUAUAUAUUAUUAUCCAUUAUUUGCUUAGCCACCAUAACACCACCACUUAAUUUUCCUCAACCCCCCAUUACACUCCUACACUCCGCACACUCAACUUUUACGGCUAAUCCAACACCCUUUUCACCAACACCCCACUCAACAAAUCCACUUAUUUCUCUCAUUUUUGAAUAAUCACAACGCCACACACUCCUCUUUUUG